UACGAAGGGGGCUAGCGUUGUUCGGAAUUACUGGGCGUAAAGCGCACGUAGGCGGGCGAUUAAGUCAGGGGUGAAAUCCCGGAGCUCAACUCCGGAACUGCCUUUGAUACUGGUCGUCUAGAGAUCGGAAGAGGUGAGUGGAAUUCCCAGUGUAGAGGUGAAAUUCGUAGAUAUUGGGAAGAACACCAGUGGCGAAGGCGGCCACCUGGCUUGGUAUUGACGCUGAGGCGCGAAAGCGUGGGGAGCAAACAGG
rnacentral:rRNA from 1 species